UACAUCUGUGCAGCCUUACAAACCAUCCACAGUUUUCUCUGCACUUCACUUUCCAUCUGUGAGAUCAAACCCUGGAGUCUGCAGCCAGAGGGGCAUUUAGAAAUCUGUGGAGAAGGACACAAUUGUAUCUGAGAGUCAUCAUCUGAACACAGAGGAAUGCCUGAUUUCUCUCGACACUGUCGCCGCCUGUAUGUCCGGGUGUGACUGAGAGACCGUCGGCCAUCUUGAUUCGGUUUCUUCAGUUUGGCGCACACUGCAGAAAAAAAGAAAGGAAAACAAACAGAGUUUGGUUAAUUCACCUUCAACUGAGCUCCAAUUCAAACACGACAACUGCAAACACAAAAUGUGAUUUGUGUGCAUGUAUUUAUUUAGUGUCAUUGGUCUGACCUUUGGACAGAACUUUAUUUUUUUAGUGUUCAGUUUUUGUGAAAAUUGAAGAAGACAAAGAUUUAAAACAUUAAAACAACAAACACUUUUUAUUACAAGAACAUUUUAAUUCUGAAUUCUGAAUAAAAAACAUUAACUGAAGUAUAAAUGUUUUUGUCAUAAUGUCUGUCUGAAUAUAACAACUGCUGCAUUUGGUUCAUCUGUUAAAACAAUUACAAAGUUGAAGGUAAGAGUCAAGAUAACUCACAUUAAAUGUUACAUUGCUAAUUUUGUUUCAACUUAUGACACUGCCUGAAUAUAAAUACAAAUCUUGUUCUAUUUUCAGUGAGAAAGUAAAGGAAGUUGUUAAUGGUAGAGAUAUAGUAAUAACGUAAACUUACAGCUAUAAUAAGUUUAAAGUGAGUAUAUGACGUGUCAAACUUCUGAACUUUGCAUUGUGAGUAAAACAUCUACAUGUUUGAUGUGUACGUUUUCCACAGCAGAAGACACAAACGGCUUCACAACAAAAAAUAAAAACGUGACAGAACAUAGUCACUAAUUUAAUUUAAACUACAGUGAUCUUUGACAAGUGUUUUUUUUUUUUAACUUUUAUUUACUAUUUCAAUAUUGUAAAACAAUGAAAACUUCCAAGUUGGGUGAAUACUUUUUCAUAAGCAUUGCAUGAGAAAUAUAAUUCAUCCUUAUAUUAGUCAGUCAGUAUUUCUUCACUGAUACUUUGGAAAAGUGUUUUUGUGCGUGAUUUGUAAUUUUGUCUGAAAUGAAGCCAGGACCCACAGCAGCUGAAGUGAACGUUGAAUCUUUAUUGAUGGAGUAGAGUUCAGGAACAGAGAGAACAUGGGGUUUUUUCCAAGAACGCUGGUUUGUUAAUCCUAACAAACAGGUCAAUGCCGUUUACACAGUGGGUUGACAAAAAUACAAAUAAAGAUAAGCUGACACAGUUUGACAUGAUUUUGAAAUCCCGCAAUGAUUUACAAACAGACCAAGAAUCUAAAAGGUCUGAAACCACCUUUUCAAAUAUUUAUUUAUCCUCAGCUUUACCUUUAGUUUUACUUCCUCUCCGAUCUAUUCUAUCUGUUGCCUAUUUUACAACUAAAUCUAAACGUGUAUA